rnacentral:lncRNA from 1 species
CACUUCUAGGAUAGAGACACAAGGAAAGAGAAAUUAUUCAGUCUUUUGUGAGAAAGCAUGUUUCUCCAUAACUCCUAAGUGCACACGGAAAUUUAGCAAACAACUGAAGAUAUUAAUAGCAGCGUUCAUGCUGUGAAAGCAGUACUUUUCACAACUGAGGCUAUCAUCAUUCAUCAAAUCACUUAAACGGUAAAUUCCCAGUGACAGUUUUCAGUCUGGGCUUGUACAAAAUCUAGCGUGAAGGAGUCCUGGCCCACAGCUGAGGCUUCAGAAUAACAUAACCAUCAGACAUACUAUGUUGCUAUAGCAAAUUUACCACUGUCUUGGCAUAGACUAUAGCGCAUAUUUUUAUCAGUCGUUACCGUUCCCAAAAUAUUUUUGCAAGUGUGGCCACCGAGAUGAGGGAAUCGUUUCCACAGACGGUGUCAGCACGCAUUCCCUGAUGCAGCUGGGUGGUGAGCCAUGGCGAUAGCGUGGGGAGCUUCGUGCUGCUUGCUGAGCUCUGCAUCCUGCCAAGCCUGGGUUGGGUUUGCACACCGGCACUAAGCCUUGACUCUUGGCCUGGCCUUUGGGAUGCUGAACGAAGAGAGAUGCCAGCCCAAAGCAAUUUUGGCAGUUCCUCUGUGCUGCAUGCAAAAAGACAGCCCGGGAACCUGCACCAGCCAGGAGGCUCAUCCCCAUGUGGCUUACAGCUCCGUGUUUAGCCUUGUCUGCUGGAAACUGGGCUUGAUCCACUGCCUCAAGCUGGAAGGGACUCAGGUCUGAACACUAGUCUAGCUGUAGGCAGAAGAAGAGAGCUGUGAGAUGCCAUCGUUACAUUCCCUAAUGGAACAACACGACGCGAAGCAAUAGGAACAUGUGCGCAUGGCAGACAAAGGCACAUCAACUGUGCAGGUGGAGGAUUUUUGCAGUUUGAGGCAAAAAGACCUACAACAUGAAGAGGAAGAAUCAGUAAAUCAACAAUGCAUUCUCAACAACACCAGGAGUAUAGCCCUGAAAAAUGCC